rnacentral:rRNA from 1 species
AUUGAACGCUGGCGGCAUGCUUUACACAUGCAAGUCGAACGGCAGCGCGGGCUUCGGCCUGGCGGCGAGUUGCGAACGGGUGGGUAAUGCAUCGGAACGUGCCCAGUAGUUGGGGAUAGGCCGGCGAAAGCCGGAUUAAGACCGUACACGAUAAGAUGGUGAACGGGGGGGACCGAAAGUGAUCGCGGUACUGGAGGGGCCGAUUAGGGGGAUCCGCGCUGGAUUAGCUAGUUGGUAAGGUAACGGCUUACCAAGGCUACGAUGCGUAGCCGACCUGAGAGGGCGACCGGCCACACUGGGACUGAGACACGGCCCAGACUCCUACGGGAGGCAGCAGUGGGGAAUCUUGCGCAAUGGGCGCAAGCCUGACCCAGCAACGCCGCGUGCGGGAAGAAGGCCUUCGGGUUGUAAAACGCUGUUGUUCGGGAAGAACAUCUGUGUGCUAAUCCCCCGGGAGCUUGACGGUACCGAAACAGAAAGCACCGGCUAACUACGUG